rnacentral:tRNA from 1 species
CGGGUGAUGGCGGUCCUGGCCAGGCUGCCGCGCAGCCGGGUGCUGCGGGCGCGGCUGGCGGUGGAUGCGGCGGGCCAGGUCGCGCUGACUCAUCAGCC